GAAACGAACAGAGCAGACGAUACCAGAAAAAUUGUAGCUCGAAUAGAAACACUGAAAUGGCCGUUGAAUAAUUCAGUUUCUCUCGAUAGAUGACUCUGAUUCUAGUUUCCACCACUUUGCUCCGCCCCAAAACUGACGAAAUUUUAGACAUUCAGACCAACGAAACGCGGUAUAGGGAUUCCUCUCAGCCUGAACCAACCAGGGUUCUAUGACUCUGCUCUGACCAUACAAUACAAUAAUUAGUUUAAUUAUAACAAUACAAGCGGCAACGGUGUCAUCGCUUGGUAGAAAAAUAAUGCUUUUAUUCGCCACCUGGUGGGCGUUCAAAGAAAGCUUAGGUCUGGACUUCUACCAUGUUCAAGGGUCUUUUGUUUUCAGACUCUCGUGGUGUCAAAUUUUUAACUAGGGGCCCUCACUCCGUUCAGGAAGUUCCCGAUAGGGUCCAGCCUGGUCGCCAAUUCGCCAUAGAAUCUCGGAAACCGAUUGUCCUUACGGCAAAACUGACAACGUAUCCAUGUAGGAUGAAGACGACGUGUGAAGUAAUCAUCCCCGCUUCACCCCGCCUUCCCAUUUUUGUCAAAAUCGGCCAAAAACGACAACUCUUGAAAUUAUCCAAAAAUCAUACGGCAUAAUUGAAAUUAAACGCUGAUUUCGAUUUA